GUUAAAAAAAAAAUGAAAACUAGCUUACUCAAUGUUUAUCAUGACACAUCGAUAUUUCCUAUUUUUCAUUGUACUUGAUAGGUUGAAAAAGUUAACCAAUAUGUCAAAAAUACUGCAUGUUAUAUGCUUUUUUAUUAGUUCUCAUGAAAAUCUUUUUUUUUUUCCUUACUUAUUUACAAACAAUUUAAAAAGAAACGAAAUGAUUUUACAUUAUUAAUUGUUUCCUUCAUUUUUACUUGUUUAGAAAUAAUUUACAAACAAUGCUCACUACUUACUGUAAACAUUAUCCUGGUGAUGAUGCAGACAUGGUUGCAACUCAAAACAAAGCUAUAAUUGAAGUUGUUCAAGAACUUGUACGACAGCUGACUCAACCAAAUACAUGUGUUAGAGAUCAGAAACAAUGAAAAUGAUUACUCUUAAAGUUACGCCACUUCACAAAUGAUACUUUAAUAGAUAUCUUAUUGUCUAGUAGCUCUUCAUACUGUCAAUCAAUUGUGGAUACUGUGAGUCAAGAGCUCAAUAAUUUGUUUUUGUAUCCCCUGUAAUCCAGCAUUUUGUGGAAAAGUGUUUUAUUGCUGGUCAUAGUUUAGAAAUUCUUGGUAAUGAAAGAAUUUUUCUCUUGAUCCCUUUGAAAAGCAGUGUGCAAAUGAAAUUGAAGUUCAACCUGAAUAUUUUAAUGUUGUAAUUUUUUAAUCUUUAUGUAAGAAAAAUUAGAAAUGGAAAUUGAUUCAGAUUCUUAUUAUUUAAUUAUUUAUGUGCAAACAUUGUGAAUAAAGUUUUCCGUUCUGAGCAACCCAUGAUUAAAGAAACUUCCAUUAAA